CCUGCGCACGCGCCAGGAGCCGGUACCGGAACCUCCCGAGCCCAUUCCCAUUGAUCCCAUUGAUCCCAUUGAUCCCAUUCCCACUGAUCCCAUUCCAUUGAUCUCAUUCCCAUUGAUCUCAUUCCCAUUGGUCCCAUUCCCGGUUAUCCCGGUUGUUAUCCCGCCCCCAUUCCCUGCCGUUAUCGCUGCCGUUAUCCCAUCUAUUAUCCCGUUCCCCCAUUCCCGUUCUCCGGUUAUCCCAUUCCCGUUCCCGUUAUCCCGUUCUCCCGUUCCCGUUCCCAUUC
rnacentral:lncRNA from 14 species